ACGCUCGACACCUACUGGAGGCAGCAGUCGGGAAUAUUGCGCAAUGGAGGAAACUCUGACGCAGUGACGCCGCGUGCAGGAAGAAGGUUUUCGGAUUGUAAACUGCUUUAGACAGGGAAGAAAAAGGACAGUACCUGUAGAAUAAGCUCCGGCUAACUACGUGCCAGCAGCCACGGUAAUCUGAGCGGGCUGGCAAGGC
rnacentral:rRNA from 1 species